rnacentral:misc_RNA from 1 species
CCGAGUUUACAACUCCCAAACCCAUGUGAACAUACCUACUGUUGCUUCGGCGGAUUGCCCCGGGCGCCUCGUGUGCCCCGGAUCAGGCGCCCGCCUAGGAAACUUAACUCUUGCUUUAUUUUGGAAUCUUCUGAGUAGUUUUUACAAUAAAUAA